rnacentral:rRNA from 1 species
CCUACGGGAGGCAGCAGUGAGGAAUAUUGGUCAAUGGGCGCAAGCCUGAACCAGCCAAGUCGCGUGAGGGAAGACGGCCCUACGGGUUGUAAACCUCUUUUGCCGGGGAGCAAGCCUUAGCACGUUUGCCCAGGCGGAGAGUACCCGGCGAAAAAGCAUCGGCUAACUCGGUGACAGCCGCCGCGGUAAGACGGAGGAUGCGAGCGUUAUCCGUAUUUAUGGGGUUUAAGGGGUGUGCAGGCGGUCUGUUUAGCCCGCGGAAAAAAUUCAGGGCUCAACCCUGUCGAGCCGUCGGAACUGGCAGUCUUGAGUGGGCGAGAAGUAUGUGGAAUGCGUGGUGUAGCGGUGAAAUGCAUAGAUAUCACGCAGAACGCCGAUUGCGAAGGCAGCAUACCGGCGCCCAACUGACGCUGAGGCACGAAAGCGUGGGGAUCGAACAGGAUUAGAUACCCUUGUAGUC